GAGGUUCUGACGUUUCCUCAGGCUGAUUCAUGUCGGCCUUGUCCUAGAAUCGUGGGACUAUCUUGUGGAUUUCACAGAGAAAACAGGUGAGAGUCUACAGCAGAGGAACUUCCACUGAGGUUUGCAAUUCCCCCAAGCUGCAGGGACUUGUCACUAGGCAACAGUGACGUUCACUGUGACAAUAACUAGAGCUCACAAUCCGGCCUGGUGCCCUGAGACAAGUGCAUGUGCAUUUGUGAGGCAGUCUAAGGCUCUCCUCUGUCAUAAAUGUCAGCCUGCCCAAGCAGAGAAAAAUGGUACAGGUAGAGCUGUCCUGGUAUUGAGGAAAAGCCUGUCUGUGAAACCCACUACGGGACCCUAAAAGUCUCAACCUCAAAGCCCUUUUGGGCCAUAUGCGUGUUCGGGUCCUGCUGGAGGAGGAGGUGUUUGGAGACUCUGAAGUGAUCUCUGGAAACUGCUCUUCUGACUCUGGGAAGAGUCUGUGAGGCUAUGAGGCAGAAUUGGGUUCCAUGACAACUGGAAUCAUGCAAUCCUCCAAUAGAAGUGGGAGAACAAGAGUUUCCUUGUUGGUGGCUGUAACAGGUGAAGGUGCAGGACCCCAUCUACCAGUCACCACGUUGUAUCCUCACUCCUAUCUGUCCUAACUGCCGCUCACACUCUCUGUCCCAGAAUGAAAUCCCAAGACAGUGGAUGAGUGUCCCCUGAUGACUUUAAUCACUGGCUCAGCUGGGAACCAAAUUUGAGGUAAAUUCAAG
rnacentral:lncRNA from 1 species